UGAUCUGGCCAAUCAGAAGUUAGGAAACUAGGUGGGGCAAGUGAGACAGGCGUGGGGGUCUAUUAGUACAGGCUCCAGGGACAGGAAUGUCUUCUCAAAAUGGGUGAAGACUGAUUUUCCCACUUGAAACAUUGUUGCCCUCUGCCAGAAAUGAUCAUUCCAGGUUCCAUAGGCCAUGUAGCACGCAUGCCCAGAUAUUCACUGUUAUGUCAGCAUAUAUCUUCCUAUCCUCUGCUGCGCAUUUGUUUAAAUAUAUGGUAUACAUGAGGCAGGCCAUCAUCUCAAAUACUUGCCCUUAGUGUCCAACUUCCUCAGAUAUGUGGGGUUUUUCCUAGAUCUUACUAGGGCUUCUCUAGUAACUUAAGAAUGUUAAAUGGUUUUUGAGACUGAAUUAUUAUUAGUAAUAUACACAUCAAGUUAUUGAAAUGGUGACAUCAUACAGUUUUCCCCUUAAAGGUGGCACCUUCAGAUAUUAGAUUUCCUCAUCUAGCUAGCUGAAGAUUCACAAAUAUUCCAAAAUCAAACUGUUUUUGGUUUAGAGGACUAAUGCCUGGCCCGUGUCCCCACAAGACUUCUUGCAGGAGAGUACUCAGGCUCCUCCUGGGCCCUCGCCCCACAGGACGACGAUUGGACAUUGUGGUUCGACUGAGGGGAGCUGAAGGUCCCCAUCUUGAGGGAUGAGGUGGGGACUGGAGGCCACAUGUAGAAUGAUCAAUUCAUUGGUUCCCCAUAAAUGUGCAACGUGUCCUGGUGCUGGUGGACCCAAGAGCUGAAUGUUCUCUGACUAAUAGCAACCCUGAGCAUUUUCCCGGGACCCCUGCUGUGAUAGAUGGCUAUGGGGGUAAGGCAAUUAGAGUGAAGAAAGCCCAAAUCCCAUUGGGGAUAGGGUGUUUACCCCCAAAGGAGUAUACUGUGUACAUGUCUCCCACCCCUGAAUAUAUUUUGGGGAUAGAUAUCCUGCAGGGCCUGUGGUUACAGACCACUGCAGGUGAGUUCAGACUGAGAGUACAUGUGGUAAAGACAGUUCUGAGGGGACAUGCUAAGCACCCACCUGUAGCUCUGCCUGUACCUCAGCAGGUGACAAAUACUAAGCAGUAUCAAUUGCUUGAGGGCACAAGGAAAUUGGAGAAACUCUACAGGAAUUGGAGAGGGUGGGCAGCAUAAAGCCCACUCAGUCCUUUUAAUUCCCCAGUGCGGCCAGUGAGAAAGCCAGAUGGCUCCUGGCGUAUGACUGUAGACUAUAGGAAAUUGAAUAAAGGCACACCCCCUUUGCAUGCUGCUGUCUCCUCUAUAGCAGACAUUUUGCACAUGCUCAGCCAGGAGCUGGGAAUGUAUCAUUAUGUAGUAGACCUUGCUAAUGCUUUCUUCUCUACUGACAUAGCACAGGUAAGCCAGGGAGAGUUUGCCUUCACAUGGGAAGGCUGGCAGUGGACAUUCACUGUCCUUCCACAAGGGUACCUCCACAGUCCCACCAUCUGUCAUGGACUUGUAGGCCAGGACUUGACCACAUGGAAGAAACCGUAAACAGUGUGGUUGUAUCAGUACAUUGAUGACAUUAUGCUCAUGUCUGAUUUUCUUUCAGAUUUAGAAGCGGCAGUUCCUAGACUGUUGCAAUGUCUACAGGAAAAAGGAUGGGCUGUGAACAGCACCAAGGUUCAGGGACCUGGAUUGUCUGUGAAAUUCUUGGGGGUUGUCUGGUUGGGUAAAACUAAAGUUGUUCCUGAAGCAGUUAUAGACAAGGUCCAGGAUUUCCCCACCUCUACCACUGUGGCAGUAUUACAAGAGUUAUGGGGUCUUUUGGGCUACUGGAGAGUGUUUAUCCCACACUUGGCACAAAUUCUGAAGCCCUUAUACUGGUUGGUACAAAAGGGCAUCAGGUGGGACUGGGAUGAGACAUGUGCAGCUGCUUUUACUGCUGCCAAGUGGGCAGUCAAGGCUGUACAGACCUUGAGUGUAAUGUACUCAUCAAGGCCCUGUGAGCUAGAUGUUCAUGUAACUGAAGAUGGUUAUGGAUGGGGUCUUUUGCAGUGCCUUGAACGGACAUGCCAACCUAUUGGAUUCUAGUCCCAGCUAUGGAAAGGAGCAGAGGUCUGGUACACCUUGACAGAGAAGCAACUGGCUGCGGUGUACCACACCACCUGGCUACGGAGCCCAUCACUGGAACAGGUCUGACCAAGAGCAACAUCCUGCUGCCAGCCCCUACUGCAUUACGUCUUGGAGACACUGUUGAAUGGACCUGGCCCUGGACAUUUCGACACAUGGACCAGUGAUGGCUGGCCCUUCUGGCACCUUGGGGGAAAGGCCUGGAAACUGGCCUCAUGUGUAUUCCUGGAGUAACAGCUGAAUGGCCCGCAAAGGUCAUGGUAAUGUACCCAAAACAUCCAGGAGGUAAGAACAUCUUGCCGGGAAGUUUGUUUUAUCUUUAUGGCCAGUGCAUGUACCACCCGUGGCCCUAUAUAUCGACCCAUCUGUAACUCCCACAAGGAGGUGGGUGAAAGUCUGGUAUACUAGACCAGGAUGAGAUCCCAUUCCUGCUACUCUUUUAUCACAGGACCACUCUCUUGUAUGUGUCCUACCUGAUGGACAAGAUUUGCCUAUGCUGGUGUCAUUAAAACAUGUAUCUUAUCACCCUUAAGGUUGUUUUCUUCUACAGUCCUUGUGGCCUGAAUACACCCCCUGGCUGCAGCUGCCACGUGAUGAUUCCUCUGAACCCUCAGCUACUGCCUGCCUAUGGAAUGGAUGAGCUAUGGACUUAAUCUGCAUAAGACUUUGAACCUAGCUGAAUCAUCCGUCUUGAGGAUUGUAAUGAUUUUGUUGCUGUUGCUAUUGUUAUGUCAUUAGUCUGGUCACAAUGCUCCAGUUUUAUUUCCCUGGGACCACUGUGGAAGAAGGGGAAUGAGUAGAUUAUAAGGCAAGAUUUCUGGAUGGGUGGGCUGUGGGUAAAAUUGCAGUAUUUCCAGAAUCUCUCGCCUGGCUUUAGUGCAUUUGCAUAUCCUCAGGAAUGGAGAGAAGUUCAUCUCCAUAUCAGUGGGUAAUUACCUGGGCAACUGAGGGCGUGUCUGAACCUGAGAGUUUAAGGGGAGGGGCUGGCUUGCUUGCUGGCUUGCUUCCUUCUGGAGCAGGGGAGAUAGAUGGUGCUGGACUGCCAUUUGUAAGCAAUAAACGGGUUAAACUUUA